rnacentral:lncRNA from 1 species
GAACAUCCCUCAGUUAGAUGUUACCUCCUCCAGAGCUAUCUAUGAAUCUCCCUCAGUUAGCUGUAACCUCCUCCAGAGCUAUCUAGGAACCUCCCUAAGUUAGUCGUAGCCUCCUGCAGAAUCAGAGAGCUAACAACCCAUAUUAGACUCAUGUUUUACUCUGGUCGUCAUAGUAUUUGUCUUUCACCUGACCCUUGACCUCUCUCCUCUGUGUUAUCACUGAGAAUGUUCCAUCUGUUCUUUCUCCCACUGCAGGUAUCUGGACUUCCCAGCUGACUGACAGACCCUGCAGUGUUGUCUUCCCUACCAGUAGACUGAAUGACCAGACCAGACCAGGCAGUGUUGUCUUCCCUACCAGUAGACUGAAUGACCAGACCAGGCAGUGUUGUCUUCCCUACCAGUAGACUGAAUGACCAGACCAGACAAGGC